rnacentral:rRNA from 1 species
CAGUCGCCGCGGUAAUACGUAGGUCCCGAGCGUUGUCCGGAUUUAUUGGGCGUAAAGCGAGCGCAGGCGGUUAGAUAAGUCUGAAGUUAAAGGCUGUGGCUUAACCAUAGUAUGCUUUGGAAACUGUUUAACUUGAGUGCAGAAGGGGAGAGUGGAAUUCCAUGUGUAGCGGUGAAAUGCGUAGAUAUAUGGAGGAACACCGGUGGCGAAAGCGGCUCUCUGGUCUGUAACUGACGCUGAGGCUCGAAAGCGUGGGGAGCAAACAGGAUUAGAUACCCCUGUAGUCCCUGUCUCUUAUACA